CCUGGCAAAGGGAGAGACACACUGACAAUGAAUGGAUUCUAUUUCAAAUUGUGCCACUCGCUGGCAGCCCUUCUACAUAUGUACAUAUGUAUAUAUCCAUCAAUCGAUUCAUGCUGAGCUCUGCCAAUUUCGUAAGUGCCAUUCAUGCGCUCUUGGGCCCCACUUGAGCACGGAAUUGGAGGACGUUGGGCAAAUUGAUUUGAUUUACUUUAAAACAGUUUGCACGCCCAUAAUACGCCGCAUAUGUUGGUAAUUGUGUUUUGAUUUUUCGCAUAAAACAGUGUUCCGAGAGUUUUAUUUGUUAUAUAAAAAACUAGCUAUACCUUUGUUAUUAAGGCCGACACUUUGAGGCAGAGAACAAUAAACCUCAGUUAUUAUUAUUGUUGUUAAGUUAAAUCGCAACUUAAUUGCUCAGCUAUUGAAAACUUAGUUGCACGUUAUGUUAAGCUGCUGUUAUUAACAGUGCGACUGUUAUACUCAAAGUAGCCCCGUACAACAGAUAUAUCGAUACCAUUUACAGUAAUAGAGGCAUUGUGACGUAGCAGCGAGCAAUGGGCUAUGGACAGCAUCUGCUCAACGAACGAAAUCAAAACGGUAUAUGCAAAUUUUGACUGAAUUCAAUUGAAAUACAAAUCUCCAAAUAGAAAUCCAGAAGUGCUGCAAGUAGCUACGCAAGGUUAAAUUCAUGUCCACGCAUCUUGAAUAUCAAUUGGAAUUCGUUUUCGUUCUGUACACCCAUUCCGAUGUCGUUGUUAUGCUUUGUUUAGCAUAAGCAGCACAGCACACCCAUGAUCACCAAUACACAUAGACAGAUACGCACACACACAGCUAUAUAAGUCGACACCACCUACCCUGGGCAUGUUUGCUGAAGAGCUGUGUGUUCCGUUUUUUGAUUUCUUUUGCUUUCUUUUUGGCCUUUUGGUUAAUAUAUUUUGCAGCUACUUUUACAGGUCGCAGAUUGCCCAGAAACGGUUGUAUUUAUAUCGGAUAUAUAGUUAAUAUAAUGAUAUUUCAGACAGCUGAUGACGCCUUCCCGACGUACCGCGACAAACGUGGAAACACAACUAAAAGCACCGCAAAAGCAACAACACAAAAACCAAAAGACAAACACACAAAAGCUCGCGCUGCCAAAGCAAAAAGCUUUCGGCUCUGCGAUCGGACUCUGUGAACAGCUGUUCGGCCGAUUGCAUCGAAUGUGCAAUUGCGAUUCAUGUUAAUUCAAUUACGUUUACACAGAAUGCGGGCGGGCGAGCGAUAAAAUGAGUAAAGUGAAAAUGAAUAUGAA